rnacentral:rRNA from 1 species
UACGGAGGGGGCUAGCGUUGUUCGGAAUUACUGGGCGUAAAGCGCGCGUAGGCGGCUUUGUAAGUUAGAGGUGAAAGCCCGGAGCUCAACUCCGGAACUGCCUUUAAGACUGCAUCGCUAGAAUUGUGGAGAGGUGAGUGGAAUUCCGAGUGUAGAGGUGAAAUGCGUAGAGAGUCGGCAGGAACACCCAGGGGGAAACCAGCCGACUGGGCAGCUGCUGACGCUGAGGUGCGAGAGCGCGGGGAGCGAACCGG